AAAAAGACAAACCCUAGGUUUUCGUGUCAAUAUUUGACUGUCCGUAUUAUAUAAUUUUUUUUAUAAUUAGUAUUUUCAUUGUUGUUAGAUGAUAAAACAUGAUUAAUAUUUUAUGCGUGACUUAUCUUUUUAAUUUUUUUUAUAAUUUUUUCAAAAAAGACGGACGGUCAAGCGUUGGACACGGAAAUCAGAGUUUGUCUUUUU
rfam:Oryza glaberrima chromosome 10 Oglab10_0131_12, whole genome shotgun sequence.